CCCCCAGACUCCUACGGGAGGCAGCAGUGGGGAAUAUUGCACAAUGGGGGAAACCCUGAUGCAGCAACGCCGCGUGAGUGAAGAAGUAUUUCGGUAUGUAAAGCUCUAUCAGCAGGGAAGAAGAUGACGGUACCUGACUAAGAAGCCCUGGCUAACUACGUGCCAGCAGCCGCGGUAAUACGUAGGGGGCAAGCGUUAUCCGGAUUUACUGGGUGUAAAGGGAGCGUAGACGGCGAUGCAAGCCAGAUGUGAAAGCCCGGGGCUCAACCCCGGGACUGCAUUUGGAACUGCAUGGCUGGAGUGCGGGAGGGGCAGGCGGAAUUCCUGGUGUAGCGGUGAAAUGCGUAGAUACCAGGAGGAACACCGGCGGCGAAGGCGGCCUGCUGGACCGCGACUGACGUUGAGGCUCGAAAGCGUGGGGAGCGAACAGGAUUAGAUACCCUA
rnacentral:rRNA from 1 species